UUGGACCUUAUCAUAGGUGGAUCUGUAAACGUUUUAAAGCGGUUUUCGGAUCUGUGAACGUACGUUUUAAGACGCAUUUUGGAUCUGCAAACGUUUUAAGACAAGUUUCGCAUCCGUAAACGUUUUAAGACGAAUUUCUCUGGAUUUAGGAAUCGAUGGGUAACUUUUUUUUUCUUCGUUUGGUAACCUUUACUCAUGGAUUCUGUGGUUAGACUGAAGUAAUACUUGGAUAAAGUAUAGAAUAUUAAGCUAUGGACUGGGAAAAUCUGGAAUUAUUAUUGCAUUGUUUCCGUAUUCAAAAGAGUAACAAAACUCAAGAGUGGACAGUACAUGACAACAUCAAAUAGAUAGUUCUGGUAGUCUUGUUUGACACAGAAACCACGACAUGAGCACUGGUUCCGACAACGCCAGCGACAAAAGUGGGCUUCAUACAAAUGGCCUCCGAUUCAGGAAAGAAAUUAGCCAGAAUUUUUUUUUCUAUGUAGCUUUAUACCGUGUUGAUGAGAGAAUCAAAGGACACUUUUUUUUUAAGAGAAGUGAAAUGCAAAUGAAUCGUAAUUUUAUUAUUAUUAUUAUUAUUAAUCAUUAUUAUGAACUGUGUGUAUAUUCAGCGUUUUGAAAGGCUAGAAUCACCCGGAAGAAGGUUGAGAAUAGAGAAAGGGGAAGCAAAUAGGACGGUCUUGAAGUGUGAGACAAUGGAACCUCAGAUUAAUUUGAUAAGUAAUUCUAAAUCAUUCAGAAAAUGUUGACCAGACAAAAAUAGAUUUUGAGAAAAAAACGAAACCUUCAACUUUUUUAGGAUCAAAGUCUCAAGAACACUUCGUAAAAAAACAAAACAAACCAAAAAAAGUCAAUGUUUUCAUUCUUAUUGGAUACCUUCGGGAAACCAAGAAUCCGUACCAGACAAGACCACAAGACAGGCCUCCUAAACUCUUUGCUUCCUCUCUUUCUAAGACCAUGUACACUCACCCACAGUGUUUUUUGCCUCACGAAGUAUAAGGACGGGGCUUGUAUUUCAAACCUGGGAGGAUUCUCGAGCGACUGGGUGGAGAUGGAGGACGAGGAGGAGGGGGGGGGAGAGGGUGUUCAGUCGAGGGCUUCUUAAUACCCACGAGGAGAACUUUCCGUUUCUAUUCCCCCCUCUCCCUCAAAAAAAAAAGAUUAAAAAGGAUAGUAGAGUAAAGGAAAAUCUUGGUUAUUUUGGUUCAUAAUGUGUGUUCCAUCUGCCCUGUCCCUCCUGCCCCCCCCUCUCGCAACAGGAUUUCUCCCACAAGCUUCAUGGUUUUCAAGAAUAAAAUUUGAAUCGACAACCACCACCACAACAAGCUACAUCUUUGGCUCAAAUUUCUUGAUUGUACAUAGUAGACUUGUAGGCCUAUUCGUAAGUUAGGAUCAAGAUAUAAGGAACUCAAUAGUAAUAAAGGUUCAAUUACAGUGCAUCAUGUUUUGUUCGCUUGCUACUUUUGAUCAGUUAGUGGAAUGGAACCCAAUUUUCUUCGAAUUAGAAUGUGCCUUGACAUGGAUUAAAAAAAAGUAAAAACCAAAUAAAAAAAAUGAAUCGAUAGAUAUGUGUUGCUUCUUAUUUCAAAUUGGCAUGAUUUGUAAUUAUUAUGAUUAUGGGAAAUAAAUUUACUUUUGUACCCUAAUUGGCUCUCGUCUUUUUUCAAAUUCCAUUUUCUCUCAGUUCACGCUGAGGACUGGCCAGGUCUGUCUUGAGAGACGGACCUGGCCCGCCUUGGUAUCCAAAAACAACAAAGAAAAAAAAAACUGAAACACAUCAUACACACAAAUUGACACGAAAUUCUCUCUUUUUAGAAGGAAGAGUAACAAUAACAACAGAAGGAAUUGAUUUCACAAAAUCAUAGACUUGAAUGUUGGUUGAAAAUCAGUAUCAGAUGGAUCCAGAGAUGUGAAAGUGGAUUGAAAAGCUGGAAACACUGACUUCAAAGCUGGUUUAACACACGGAUUCAUAGACUUGACUCGUGUAUGCAUUAAUCAUGACUUAAAUAACCAAAUUCUCAAAUGACAAAAUGCAAUAAAGAAACAGAACCAGUGUUCUCUUACCCCGGCUAGAACAUGAGUAAGUUGGUGGACGCUGAGAGACAAAAUUUCUUCAGGUCGGUAAGUUAGAGGGUAAUGAGCUGCAAAUAUAAAAAAAUAAUAAUAAUAAAAUUUAAAAAAAUAUAUAUAUAUAAAAAAAAAAUUGAAGAUCAUUUUGGAAUCAAAAAGAGAGAGAAAGAAGAAAAAAAGAAAGAAAAGAAAAGCAGGUAAAUAAAGAUUUGAUAAUCAAGAACAGCAAUCUUCCAUGUUGAUGAACGAGCCCAGAGAGGUUCCUUCUACACACGGAAGAUAUAAAAAAAGAAAAAAAAAGAGAAAUAAAAGAAAUAGAAAGAAAUAAAUAAAACAAAUUGGAAUAAAAUAACGAACCAACCCUCAUUACCCUAACCCAAAAUUAUACAUACUUAAUUCUCCUCCUCCACCAACGAACUCCUGUUGCAUCUUGCACAAGCCAUGCAAGGAACGAAACGAAGACGUUCCUCGGCAUGCAGUUCCCCAGGACAUUGCAACCCCGAGACACUGGCACGGGCGCACUCUCGGCUGAGACCAGUACAAAGGGGUUCUGGCGAUCGGAGGCGAAGGGUGUCGCUCCGACUUGGCAACUGUGGGCUCUUCACGCCUGGUUGUUUAUGUGUAUGUAUAUGGACGUGUGUAUGUAUGGUUGUCUACGUAUACAUAUAUGUUUCUGUUUAUGUACAUGCAUCGUUGUGUAUGCAUUUAUAUGAACACAUACACAUAUAAUAUAGAUAUGUAUGUAUGAUUUCAAUUCUCAUUUUCUAUUUUUUUUUUUUUUUUUUUUUUAUUAUGUGCGUCUGCCUCCACGAAUCUACGCCCUUACAUAUCUCUUUCAGUUUCUGUUUUGACACUUUGCCUUCUCCCUUCUUCGUACCUCUCUGUGUGUAUGCGUUAUUCCCAUUUGCCAUUUCCUUCGUUUUUUUAAUCUAUACCUCAACCAAUUUUCUUUACUAAAUGACUUCCAACCCAUUUCUGUAUUUCACAUUUGUCAGCCUCUUUCCCCAUUUCCCCCACUUCUAAGCUCUUCCAACUCCCAAACUUAUCAUUCCUGAAGACUAAUAAAUGUACAGCUUUUUCAGUACAUUCUACAAUACACACCCACACACACACACACCUUGAUACUGUAGCCAUACAAAUUUCUACAGAGUUUAAAAGCUUCUUCGAAUCCCUUACCUCGGCUUUCUUCUUGUCGAGUGUAUGAGGGUUCCAAUACUCAUUUGAUAUGUAUAUGUGUGUGUGUAUAUAUAUGUAUAUAUAUACAUAUAUACAUAAACAUAAAUAUAUAUUGGAUAGGAAUUCAAGAUUAGCAAUUCAACAUUUUCGUGAGCCCUUGUACUUAGUUGCUUUCAAAUUUUUUGGUAUUGUAUAUUUUGCAUAAGUGUCAUGACUAUGUUGAAUUUCUACGUGUUCUUUUUCAUACUAUUUUCUAUGACCUUUAAUGUGCUUUGAUUUGCUCAAUAGGCAAAGACGUGGAACCUAAUUAAUUUUAAUGGUGAAGGACCCAACUCUUUUUUUUCAUUUCUUUGACUUUAUUGAUAAGAAUAUUAUCUUCUCACACAUUGCUUUUAAGGAUAACGAUAAAAAAACAGAACUUGGGGUUGUCUCAUUUCGAAGCGAUGGUGUUUCCCUUGCUUCGAAACGCUGACAAGAAAUUAUCCAAAACGAUACGAUACACUUUUCUCCCUUUUUCUGUCUUCCUUUUGCCUGAUAACACUUGCCUUUUUACCUGGAAACUCUUGCUAUGUCUCUCGAGAAGUUCCCGGCAACGUUUCGGAAGAUGUGAGAGUUUGCGAGGAAUUAUAUCGAGGGUCAGUAGUGUUCUCUUCUCUUCCUCGGCAUGAAAACUAUAGGAUAAAUAGUAUAUAUAUAUCUUUCUCCUUACAUAAUAGACUUAUACACUUGACACAAUACACUUAAGAUUUUUUUUUCCUAGAUAUAUAACUAUAGGAUUAAGGCAAACUCCCACACUUGCAUAGAUAUUAAGUUGUGUGAUUGAGGUGUCCUGUGUUGAUGUAGUUUCCUGCGCCAAGUGUCCCAAGGAGGCAAAAUAGCGAAUGGACCUCGACAAGGCUUUGGAGGGGAGGAGCUGACAGACAGACUUUGGGGUCGAACGCUUAGUGCUCUUACAGGAGACGUUGAGAGCCCAAACAGAGCACUCGAGGCUUAGCUGGAGGUGGAGAGUGACCGAAGAAGAAGGAAGGUAAACACACACACACACACACACACACACACACACACACACACACACACACACACACACACACACACACACACACACACACACACACACUCACUCACUCACUAACAUUAAAACAUAUUUCCAGCACAGAACGCGCGCGCGCACACGCACCCACACCCACACCCCACAGCACGGCACCCUGACACGCCAAGCACUUCCAAACACACGUGAAAGACAACUCUUCCCAUACCAAAGAGGCGCCCAUAUUUUUCUCUUUUGCAAACUUUUCCCCACACGUACGCAUACUAAACACACACACGAAAAAAUACACGAACAUAUCCAGCAACACCGCCCAUUCAGAAGACGCACACAACCACAACCUCAACCUUCUAAAGAUGUACACAAGACAUAUCCCUCAAAACCAAUGCCUUCCGAGGAUGUACACACGUGCACUCAAUACCUCCACCUAAGUGUACACAUGUACGGAAGUAUGACGACGAAUUUGCGUACAUGGAGAACAACACGUGGUUUGUUUGGGUGGGAAUGAACCUGCGAUGCGAAAGACAAAGAGUCGGAUUUUCCUACAGUGGUUGGCUAAGAAUCGAUAGCACAGGUAAGGCUAGUAAUUGAGUGUGUGUGAGAGAGAAAGAGGUAGAUAGAUAGAUAGAUAGGCGAGAAAAAGAGAGAAGUGGGUUACGACAGAAAGGGAGUGAGAGAGAGAACGUGAGAGGAAAGGAGAGGAAAUACGUAUUUUGGAAGUUGGAGAGAGAGAGAGAGAGAGAGAGAGAGAGAGAGAGAGAGAGAGAGAGAGAGAGAGAGAGAGAGAGAGAGCAGGCAGGCAGGCAUGCAGGGAAGAGAUAGGAAAGGUAAGGAAUAAGGAAAGUUAGUUGAAGCAGGGAAGUAGAAACAUGGAAGUUAAAGGUAUUGGAAGAAUAAAGGGAACGGAGAAAGAUGGAGACGAGGAAAACAGAGAAGAGAUAUAACUGGGAGAAAUCAGAACAAAUAUAGACAAGGGAAAAGAGGCAGUGAGAGGGGGGGGUAGAAGGGGAGGGAGGGAGGAAAGAUUGCGUUAGGAGAAAUAAAGGCAGAAAAGAGUCAGAAAGUAGUGAAGAGAAGUAGGGAGAAAGAGGCAGAGAGAGGACAAAAGAUGUAACGAGGGGAGAAGAGGCGGAUACAGGCCAAAAGAAGGGAGAGAGGAGAAAUGAAAAGAGUGAAAGGACGAGCUACGAAAGAGGCAAAGUUAGAGAGAGAGAGAGAGAGAAAGAGAUUGCAGAGAGAGAAGAACACGAACCCAAAGUGAGUGAAAGAAAAAAAUCUAAAAAAAAAAGUGUAUGUGUAAAAGAGGGGAGAAAGAGGAAGAAAAAGAGGGGGAAAGGGGGAAAGGGGAAGUAAGGGGGUUAAAGAUCAAACAGCAGAGGAACGAGGAGCGAGAAGUUAGACCCAAGGUAUUCGGAGCCGGGCUGGUAUUUCGAGGAUGAAAGUAGUCCAGGAGGCGACGUCAGAGACAAAGGAGGCUUUUAUCGUAGUUGGGGAGGCCAAGAGACCGAUUCUAGGAAGAGGAGCGCGAGGAAUAGAAUGGAGGAAUAAGGUAAAACCAAGAAUAGAACGAUAGAUAGACGGGAGUGAAGGAGAGACCGAAAGAUUGAUGAUGGAUUUAGAGGCCGCGGGCAGUGUGAUUGAAUUUCCGAAGGUGAGAGAGUGCAGGGGUAUAUUAUAUACAUAGAUUUCUAGAAGUUCAUGUGAACGAAUGAAUGAAAGUGAGAACGUGAAUGAACACACCAAUAAAAAAAAGACAAAAUAAAAUAAAAAGGUGUCCAGAGUGUUUGGUGGUGCAAGCUAUGACGAAAAGACUUUUGCCACAACCUGUUUGUUUAACGCGGUGGAAAACGUAACUAUCAUCAACACAGGAGUUACCCUUUGCGUGUUAACAUUUCUCCCAUCAGGCUGUGCGGUAUGUAGCGUCACUGAAACCUUCUUUUUUAUAUUUGAUCUGUACUUCUCUCUUUCUCUUUCUAUUGUUUAAGAUUUUUCUAUUUCUCUUCUCUUUUCUUUUCUUUUUUCUCUUUAUUUCUCUCCAUUUUUUUUUUUUGUCACACUUUCCUCUCCCACUUGUUUUAUCUAUUUUUGUUUUUCUUUUUCUUUUCUUAUCUUCUCCAACGCCUGAGGACUUUUGGUGUAGAUCUCCCCACACUAUAAACUCCCCAGGGAUGUAUUUUACCUUUUCUUCCUAAAAACACUUAUUUUUUUCUACUUUUUACUCCAUCCCUCUCUUUAUCAAACCUCUUCCUUCCAUCCUUUUCUUUACGUUCUUCUUUCUCUGUUGCCUCACGUAGGAUUUUAAGGACUUUCUCAUGCAGAUCCUAAUGAACAACCCUGAAUUAUGCAAGAUCCUGUGAGAUCCGAUAGGAGAAAAAAAACAGAAAAAAAUAAUGCAUGAAGUGAUUGAUGUUGAAGAGAUAACUCACACUUAGGGUGAAGAAGGGUGGGGGUUUUGUCCUUUUUUUUAAGUCCUUUUUUAUUGAUUAAAUUGAUUCUUUAAAGUUUAUUUUGGGUUGAAUUACGCUAGAGGUGGAGUGAGUUUAUAUGAUCUUCCUUUUUUCUACUACUUGGAGUGUAAGUAAAUAGGAAAAUUAAUGAUUAUUAUCUCUUGUUAACCGAAGAGUUUUGGAAGAAACGGAAUGACGUGGAAAGUCGACGAAGGAAUAACUGUGAUAAAAGUAACACCACCAAGAAUGGAAUAGUUUCUGUAAAAAGAGUUGUUUGUCGUAUUGUAACGGUUAGGAAUUCCACCCUUAGGCGUCUGCACCCUCACUCUUACGUCACCCUAAUGAGUUCAAGCGUAGAAUAAAUGUGAUCCCGAUACAAGAGAGAAUAAGAAAGAGAGAGAGAGAGAGAGAAUAAAAAAAUAUCUCAAAGGUAAGAUUAUCUCGAUCUCUGAGACUGUGAUAAGGCGUAGUUGAUUUUUUUUUAAUGUGAUCGUUUGAGGGAGAAUUAAGAAAACGAAUAAGGAAACAAACAAACAGAAAAAAAAUCAUAUAAAAAACGAGAGUUGGAAAUACUGUUUUAAAUCUAUAUUUCGAUUCUUUGUUCAUAUAUAUUUGUUUUCGGAAACGUGAUUUUCGAGCUAGAGUUUGCAUUACAAGAAAUGACUAGGCGUGUUGCAGAAGGACAUUAUACCUCAACCUGUUUAAUGAAAACAAAGUAAACAGCAACUUGCACUGUUCAGGCUUGUAGUUUUUACCAUGUAUUGAGUAGACUAGCUGUGUGCUGUUGAUUUUUUGCAUUGCUAGUGAACUUCAAUCUCUGCUAGGUUUAAAUCCAUAAAAGAGAGAGAAAGAAAAAGAAACAAUAUAAGAAUCUCCUAGACACAGCGGGAGAUACGUUGAGUGAAUAUAUAUAUAUAUAUAUAUAUAUAUAUAUAUAUAUAUAUAUAUAUAAUAUAUAUAUAUAUAUAUAUAUUGUAGUUUUUCCGCAAGGUCACUGGGAAGCAAUUAUAGUUUUUGAUGUAGGGUUUGAGAAAGAUUUGGUACGAUUUUUUCGGGCAGAAGGUUGUAAACACAACAGAUUAGAAUAGUAUGCAAGGUGAGAGAGAGAGAGAGAGAGAGAGAGAGAGAGAGAGAGAGAGAGAGAGAGAGAGAGAGAGAGAGAGAGAGAGAGAGAGCAACAGAGCGACAGCGACAGCGACAGCGAGAAAGAGAGACAGAUACAGAUAAAGAUAUAGAGACAUACAGAAAGAAGGAAAAAACAAUGAGACAUAUAGACAGAAAAAAACAUAGAUAAGUGAGUGAACAGCAGAGAGAUAGGCAAAGGGAAACAGACGAGCGAAGUGGAGGCUCUAAUCGAAUAUCGAGGUAGAGAGAUGGAUGGACAGAUCUGAGGAAGAGUGAAUGGUAUGUAAUUGGAAGUAGAGGGAAGAAAAUGGAAAAAAAACAAGAAGAAAAAAAGGGAAAUGCGGUAUGGAAGUGACCAGGUAGUAGAAACACAAGAGAGAUUUAGAGAGAAAAAAAAUGAAGAGUGAGAGAGAAAGAGAGAGAUGGAAGAAGAGAGAAAGAGAGGGAGGGAGACUACGAAGAACAAAGGUAGAGGAAAUGACAUUACCAUAACAUAGACCCACAAAGAGAACAUGUAGAAACAGAGAGAGAGAGAGAGAGAGAGAGAGAGAGAGAGAGAGAGAGAGAGAGAGAGAGAGAGAGAGAGAGAGAGAGAGAGAGAGAGAGGAGGGGAGGGAGGAGAAGACGAAAAUGCAAUGAAAGUCAAAGAACGCAACACCAAAGAUAGGGAAAGACUGACAGCUUUUGCAAUUCCUAAAGUCUGUUGUAUUGAUUUUGGAAAGUGCAGAAUGAAAUAAAAAGAAAGUUAAAUUACUUGGGUACAAGAGUUAAAAGCUUAGGAGUAGUGCAUGAUGGAAAGGAGUGUAGAAAACUCUUUUGUUUUAGGAGAGUUGAAAAAGGGAGGGAGAGAGAGAGAGAGAGAGAGAGAAAGAAAGAAAGAAAGAAAGAAAGAAAGAAGGGAAGCAGGGAGAUAGAUAGACAGAUAGACAUAUACACAUAUACACAGAUAGAGAAAGAGAUAGGGAAUUAAUGGAGCAGUAGUUUAUAUGAAAGAAGAGAAGACAGGAGACAAAAAAUAUGAAAAAGAAUAUUGAUAUAUACACAAAAGACAUGUAAAAAGACAAAGAAAGAGAGUGUAAGAGAGAGUUAGACCCGUGUUAGUCAGAAGCGUACUUAACCGAACCCAGAAACAGAGAGAGUCAAAUAACACCCUGGGAUAAUUAAAGAUUAUGAUAUCGCAGAUGAGAGAGAGAGAGAGAGAGCCUGUCUGUCAUCCAGCCUCGUGAGAUUUGAGAUUAGGAUAACACGGAUUUCGUAAUGAUAGAAUCCAUCCAAGAGCUACAUUUCACCUUAUCCAACCGAACUAAGACAUAUCUCAUCUAAUCCAAGUGAACAAGAAUAUAUUAAAAAUGACCCCACGUGCCAUCCCCGAUAUGUUUCCUUAGGGAACACAUCCAUAUAGGAUUUAUCUCAUUUAUCCAACCUAUCCAACUUGUGCUAACUCACCAAGAUAUCCAUAAGGAUAUGUAAACCUAUGAUGCUUCCACCCAUCACGUAACAUCCUAAGAAUAUCCGACCAUCCAUACACAAAGCCACUAUAUAUCCGCCUUGGAUAUUAUUCCCAACACAGACGUUGCUCACCUUAUCCAGGAUAAAACACACACACACACACACACACACACACACACACACACACACACACACACACACACACACACACACACACACACACACACACACACACACACACACACACACACGCACACACAAGUUUAUCCAACAAAUCCCGGCCGGCGAGCAGAUAAUGAGGGUCAUUAAACAGCCAUUUUAGGUUCAUAAUGAUAGGAAGUGCAAUUAGAUUCUUUUUUUUUUUUUUUUUUUUUCUUACUGGAGAUUAUAUCCUUUUUUUUUUUUUGCCUUUUAUAUAAGGGUCAGGUAUUAUGUAUGUGUGUGUGUGUGUGUGUGUGUGUGUGUGUGUGUGUGUGUGUGUGUGUGUGUGUGUGUGUGUGUGUGUGUGUAUGUAUGUAUGUGCAUGGAGUAUAUCUAAAUGUUAAUGUGUGCGCGCGUGAUUGUAUGUAUGUAUGCAAAUUAGCCAUGCCAGUUUUUAGUAAUAGGUCAUUCAUACUUCCUUCGUUUCUUUCAUUUCGUUUCUUUCACUUUCAUUUUCUUUACUCUGCUUUUUCACCUCUUUAUAAGGCCAGUUUAGUUUAUUUUCUCUUCUGUCAUACUGAGUAUUUUGUCUUCAUCUCGUACUUUUUGAUACAUAAUAAUAACGAAAAAAAAAAAAAAAUAAUAAUGACUUUCUCUGUAGUUAUUUUAUUGAUUCUUCCUUCUGUCCGUUUUAUUAUUAUUAUUAUUAUUAUCAUUGUUAUGUUUUUAUCCGUUUCCUUCUUCCCUUACUUCACAAGAAUAGUGGAAAUGCCUACUUAACCCAAAGACUGAGAUAGAUAGAUGGAUAGACUUUUUUUUAUUUAUUAAAUUUUUUUCAUAGUUUCUUUUAAUAGCGAUGCUCGAGAACCAAAGGAAAGGAGUGGUAGCGAGAAGAAGAAGAAAAAGAAAUGUUUGGAAGAAAUAGAAAGUUUUUUUUUUUUUUUUUUUUUAGAGGAAAAAAAGGCUGGUUGAUGACAGCGUUGUCUCUCUCUUUUUUUUUGGGUGGGGGGGUUAUAGGCUUAGCUGUUUUGUUUUUGUUUUUGUUUUUUUUGGCGAAUGGAGAGAAGAAAGGAAAAUAUGCUGAUGAUUGAUGGAAAGGAAAUAGGUUUAAGGAUGACUCUCUCUUGAUAGGAUUGGUUGACUCUCUUUUAAUUCGUGUUUCGUCGAUUGUGAAUUUUCUUCCUUCCUUUCAAAUUCAUCGUCUUCCACUUAUUAAAUAGGUUUAUUCAGCAUAUUUUUUUUCUUUCUUCUGGCACUUUGAAAUAUCAGUCACCCUUGUUUAUUGUUUAUUGUUUCUAUCUUGUAUCUCAUUUCACUUACGAAAGGAAAUUUUCAGUCACCAUUUUUUCCCGCUGUGUUCAAAGGACUGUAUUUCCUUCUCUCUCUUCUUUAGGAAAAAAAUGAUAAAAUAAUAAAAAAAAAGAACACGGAAAGGAAGAGGGAACAAUGAGUCACUAAAGAAACUUAUAUUUAGUCUUUAAGGAAACAAAAAUAAACAGCAGAUGUAUGGGAAGCGCACAUUUUAUAGAAAGAUAUGUUUGACUUUGUUAUCGUGGGUAUUCAGUACACUGCAAGGGAUACCUGUGUUUAUAAAGCUGGGUAAUUAUAUUGUUGUGCAAGAAUGAAAGGUAUUCAGGCUAGCAAUGUAAUUAUUAUUUCUUAUGUGUACAUUUAUAUUACCGGAGAUAGUUCAUACUUUGAUAUUCGGAAGCAGAGGGAAAGGAAGAACAACAAAGUAUGAUUUAAGCAAUACAUAUUUCUUUUUUUUUUCUCUUUUUCUAUUGAUAUUUCUACAAGCAGUACAUGUUAUGUGUUGUCUGAACACUUUCUUUGAGCAUUUCAACUUUCUUCUAACAUAAGUAUUUAUAAGCAAGGACAUGUAUGCCAUUGUUAGCACAGAAUAGCAACGUGUGUUAUGUAGUAUAAGCGGUGAAGUGAUAGACAAUACGGCGGCGAUCGCGUACAGAGCAAACUUUCCCAUCCGCGACAGCUGCCAGGCUCGUAAUGUUUUUUUUUUUAUCUUUUCCCCGUCUAUGUGUUGGCGUAAUGGAACUUCUCUUUUCUUUGUUGUUGUUUCAUUACACAACACAUACACACACGUAGAUCUUAUACAACCGAUGGGCCUGGCAGACGUUAGCAGAUGUACCAUUAUUAUUACUGUUGUUGUUAUCAUUAUUACUGUUAUUAUUAGAUUGUAGUGCCACAUCGAGUCAUUACUACAUGUACAUUAUCGAAAUCACGUGACUUUCAACUGGGACUUGAGAGGCUAAAGUAAAGAGGCUAUGAUAGACGUGGGGAAUCAGCGAUAUCACGUAACAUGAGAAACCAAUUAUGCAAACUAAAAGAAAAUCGAAUGUAUUAUAUAAUUAUAAUGAGGCUAAAGUACAUAGAUUCGGAUCCGUUUCUUUAAAAUCACAAGAGGCUAGACAUGAGUAAAUCGCUGAGGGUAAGAAUUUUCUUGGAGGCUAAAAAUAUAACAAAAACAUUUUCUUUUUUUUCUUUUUCACUGCGUGCAUUUACGUAAAUUUGAUAUUUUACUUCGUUUCCUUUUCCUUGCAAAUUGUUUUUCUUAUCAAUGAGGCUAAUGAUGGAGGUUAUACUAUAUGCACUCGGAGAAUACUGACUAAACUUGUGAUUUCUUUUACAUAAUAUCUGAGGCUAAACUACAUAUGAAAUAAUGUUACAAAUAUUAAUGAGGCUAUUGUAUGUUUCUUCCUUCAGCGAUUUGCACUCUGAAUUGAUCGGAAAUGUAUGCGAAUGAGGCUAUUCAAACUGUUAAAACAAAACAAAACAAAAAAAGGUUUAUAUAUUUCGUAUGUUACAAAGAUGCAGAAAAAAGGCAAGAAUGACGUGAGAAAAUGUGGUAAAUAGAACGAAGUUGACGUGAUUACGAGAUCUUUUUCUUUUGAGAACUAGGUAGGCAGAAAGUAAGAAUAUCACAUCUACAUUUUUCAUCUGUACAGCACCAUGAGCUUUAAUACUUUCCAUCUUUCUGUGAUUUGAAAGAAUGUGAUGACAUGAUAAUAUUCUUUUCUUGUUCUUUUUUUCAUAUUGUUUCGUUUUCUUUCUUUUUUUUCGUUUUAAUUUGCUCUAAUCUUUAAGUGAGCUGGAGUUGGAACAGCACAGUUAAGGAUUGCGUUAACGAAGGGAAGGGAUUCAUAAUGACGAAAAUAUAUAUGUAAAUUCUCAAACAAAGCUGGUGAUAUGUAUAAACAAAAUAACAUUUAGGUCUUUAAACAGAACGAAGGUCUUGCCAAGUACAAAGGACGUUAGGAGGAACAUUUAAAACAUUCAAUGUUUUCAAAUGUUAAAUGAGUAUAGAUCACCUGGAAGAUGAAGUUUUACCCAAAGGGUUUUUUCUCUCUCUUUUAUUCCUUAUUUCUCUUAGCAAAUUCCUUCACUAAGGGCCAAUUUCUUCCGCUUUUGAACACCUGAUGUGAAAUUGACUCUUGGCGAAAUUUCAAGAUAAAAACAAAAAUAGAAAAAAAAUGAUUAAAAAAAAACAAAACAAAACAAACCCUCUGGAGAAACUGCAUCACAAGUUGGUCUCUUGGUAUCUUGAUUUCAAGAACGUGUAAAAAGGUUUAUUAAGGUCGAAAGUAAAUUAGAUAUAUAACAGUAAUUCGAUCGUAGUGACAUUCGAUCACUUACGUACACAAAAGAACCAUGAAAAUAUGAAAUCUAAUUCUUAAGAUUUUAGAAUUAAGCUGUUUAUUCUUGUAUCUAUAUAUUAAAAUAAACAUAAAAUUGAACGUACAAGUAGAAUGACUUAAGUGAUAAUUUGCUGUGAAUUGAGGUCGCUGGAAUGACUGAUGAUGGUGGCCGUGAAAAGCGAAACGUUGGAAAAAAGUGUAUGUGUGUGUGUGUAUUUUUCUCAAGCAGGGGAAUGCAUUAGCUUGGCUGCUUGUACAAAGAGAAUAAACGUCUGGAUUAGAUUAUAACGAAGAAUAUGCUGUGUGUGUUAUAAGACUUGUGAUUUUAAGAGUAAAGAAUUUGUUAUUAUAGCAGUGAGGACUUUUUUUUUCAGGGGAUUUGAGAUCAGUAUCAGUAUACUCCUGAGAUGUUUUUUGUGUGGGUAGAGUAUAGGCUUAGUGCUAAAGGAAUGCCGUUUUUUUUUUUCUUUUACUUAAGUGUGUAGAUGACAGAGAAAGAUCUUGUGUUUGCUUUUUCAGUGUAAUAUAAGAAAGUGGGAUAGAGUGUAUGCUCAAAGAAGACAGUGAAGUGUUGAGUUGGGAGUGUGUUGUUAGAUUCAGUUAAGGGAAAGAUUGUGUUCUGGCUGAAGCGUUUGUUUAAGGGAAUGAAAAACAGAGUGGUUUAAGACCUUGUUUGUGUUAGACCAGCCGAGUUAUCAUGUGUUUUACGAAAGCACGUAAUAACUACGAAAGAGAAAGAAAGAAAGGGAGAGAACAGGAAAACAAGAAUAAAAGUGUCAGCCCGGUUUUGAAUUUAAUGUCAAAAAGAAAUAGAGAAAGGUUAACAAAAACAAAAAACAACAACAACAAAAAAAAAACUAAAAAAAAAAGAUUGUUUAACCAACGUAUAGGAAAGUGGCAUAGUGAAGCUCUAGAUUUGCAGUGGAGUUAGAUAUUCAAAUAGGUAUGAAGUGGUACGGGCUUUAUUUGAAUACAAAGGGGGGAGAGAGAGAGACAGAGACAGAGACAGAGAGAGGGAGAGAAAGAGAGCGACACACACAUACACAGAGAGGGAGAAACAGUUAAAUUGAAUGCAAGGGAGAGAACGGUAGGCUAUAUUGUGCAUCUGGGGGAUUGAGUUGCAUGUGUGCAGUAGAAAAGGUUGGAUUAGAGGCACAGUUUGAGGAGAGAAGGGGAGGCCUGCGAUGAAAGAGGGUGUGAAGAGAGAGAAAAAGAAGGGAGGGAAGGGUAGAGGGUGGGAGUGCAGGAAGUGAGAGGGGGAAGAGAGAGAGAGGGAGAGAGAGAGAGAGAGAGAGAGAGAGAGAGAGAGAGAGAGAGAGAGAGAGAGAGAGAGAGAGAGGAGAGAGAGAGAGAGAGAGAGAGAGAGAGAGAGAAAGAGAGAGAAAGAGAGAGAGAGGGAGAAAGAGAAAGAAAGGAGGGGGAGGGUUAAGCAGUGAUUCCAUCAGGAUCGAAUAAAGGGAGGUGUGAAAAAAUGUAAUAAAGGGGAGGGACGGGAUAAGAGGAAAAGGGGUUGUAUACAAAGAGAGAGAGAGAGAGAGAGAGAGAGAGAGAGAGAGAGAGAGAGAGAGAGAGAGAGAGAGUAAGAGAGAGAAAAAGAAAGAAAGAGAGAGAGAGAGAGAAGAAAAAGAAUGUGGAAAAGAAUUGAAGAAGACAUUUAGAUGAAUGAGAGAACAGACAGAAAA